UGUGAUUGCUAUAUUAUUAUUAUUUUAGAAGUUUCUGGAAAGUUGCAUGAAGUCUUGUUGUCCAGCACAGAAACAUCCACUCUGCUUCGCGAUCUCCAGCCAGGAAGCGAAUAUACUGUUCGACUUCUUGCAGAGAACGAAGUAGGCAGAGGUGAUCCAUCUGAUCCGGUGAUAUUUGAAACUAAAGAAGAAGAACCAGAAGCACCCCCUGUUGAUAUAGAGGUUGAACCCGUGGAUUCCCAUACAUUACAGAUUUCGUGGAAGCCACCACCAGCUGAUACCUGGAAUGGUCAAUUAAAGGGAUACCAUGUAGGCUACAAGGUUGAGGGGUCAGCAUCACAGUUAUCUUAUGAGACAGUCAUUAAAACUAACCUGCGUGAAGAGAAGACGCUUCUUCGUAACUUGCUUCCAUCUACAAGAUACUCCGUAUCUGUCAAUGCUUUUAACAAUGCAGGAGAUGGUCCACCCUCAGAAGAACUUGUUACUGGUACUCUAAAUGGAGAUCCCCCCUCAACCCCCUGAAGUGAAGGUGAAAAACGUUUCUCAGACAUCAGUCACUGUUAUGUGGUCACCUCGUAUUGAUGCAGAGGGAUCUGUGAGGCGUAAGU